rnacentral:rRNA from 1 species
AAUCAACGCUGGCGGUGUGCCUCAGACAUGCAAGUCGAACGCGAAAGUCCCCUUCGGGGACGAAGUAGAGUGGCGCACGGUGAGUAACACGUAGGUAAUCUACCUUUGGAGUGGGGAAGUAACAACCGGAAACGGUUAGCUAAUACCGCAUAAUGCAGCGGCACCUAAUGGUGACAGUUGUUAAAGACGGGGGAGUCGAAAGACCUCGCGUCUGAAGAGGAGCCUGCGGCGGAUUAGCAGUUGGUAAGGUAAU